AAAUUGAAGAGUUUGAUCAUGGCUCAGAUUGAACGCUGGCGGCAGGCCUAACACAUGCAAGUCGAACGGUAACAGGAAGCAGCUUGCUGCUUUGCUGAUGAGUGGCGGACGGGUGAGUAAUGUCUGGGAAACUGCCUGAUGGAGGGGGAUAACUACUGGAAACGGUAGCUAAUACCGCAUAACGUCGCAAGACCAAAGAGGGGGACCUUAGGGCCUCUUGCCAUCGGAUGUGCCCAGAUGGGAUUAGCUAGUAGGUGGGGUAAAGGCUCACCUAGGCGACGAUCCCUAGCUGGUCUGAGAGGAUGACCAGCCACACUGGAACUGAGACACGGUCCAGACUCCUACGGGAGGCAGCAGUGGGGAAUAUUGCACAAUGGGCGCAAGCCUGAUGCAGCCAUGCCGCGUGUAUGAAGAAGGCCUUCGGGUUGUAAAGUACUUUCAGCGGGGAGGAAGGGAGUAAAGUUAAUACCUUUGCUCAUUGACGUUACCCGCAGAAGAAGCACCGGCUAACUCCGUGCCAGCAGCCGCGGUAAUACGGAGGGUGCAAGCGUUAAUCGGAAUUACUGGGCGUAAAGCGCACGCAGGCGGUUUGUUAAGUCAGAUGUGAAAUCCCCGGGCUCAACCUGGGAACUGCAUCUGAUACUGGCAAGCUUGAGUCUCGUAGAGGGGGGUAGAAUUCCAGGUGUAGCGGUGAAAUGCGUAGAGAUCUGGAGGAAUACCGGUGGCGAAGGCGGCCCCCUGGACGAAGACUGACGCUCAGGUGCGAAAGCGUGGGGAGCAAACAGGAUUAGAUACCCUGGUAGUCCACGCCGUAAACGAUGUCGACUUGGAGGUUGUGCCCUUGAGGCGUGGCUUCCGGAGCUAACGCGUUAAGUCGACCGCCUGGGGAGUACGGCCGCAAGGUUAAAACUCAAAUGAAUUGACGGGGGCCCGCACAAGCGGUGGAGCAUGUGGUUUAAUUCGAUGCAACGCGAAGAACCUUACCUGGUCUUGACAUCCACGGAAGUUUUCAGAGAUGAGAAUGUGCCUUCGGGAACCGUGAGACAGGUGCUGCAUGGCUGUCGUCAGCUCGUGUUGUGAAAUGUUGGGUUAAGUCCCGCAACGAGCGCAACCCUUAUCCUUUGUUGCCAGCGGUCCGGCCGGGAACUCAAAGGAGACUGCCAGUGAUAAACUGGAGGAAGGUGGGGAUGACGUCAAGUCAUCAUGGCCCUUACGACCAGGGCUACACACGUGCUACAAUGGCGCAUACAAAGAGAAGCGACCUCGCGAGAGCAAGCGGACCUCAUAAAGUGCGUCGUAGUCCGGAUUGGAGUCUGCAACUCGACUCCAUGAAGUCGGAAUCGCUAGUAAUCGUGGAUCAGAAUGCCACGGUGAAUACGUUCCCGGGCCUUGUACACACCGCCCGUCACACCAUGGGAGUGGGUUGCAAAAGAAGUAGGUAGCUUAACCUUCGGGAGGGCGCUUACCACUUUGUGAUUCAUGACUGGGGUGAAGUCGUAACAAGGUAACCGUAGGGGAACCUGCGGUUGGAUCACCUCCUU
rnacentral:rRNA from 1 species